CCAAACAGAACGUGGAACCCUUGCUAAUGGGCAUCACAAUCUAGUAACUGCCAUCUCCUGAGCUCACCUGUCUGGAGACAUUCAACAACGAACAACAUGAGCUGCUUCUCCACUUCGAGAGGCCGCAGCCUCAGGACCCCAGGCAGAGAAAGUGUCUGUGAAAGACUAAGAAGAUGGCUGACUCCAUCCAGACACUGCAGACCACACUGCAGCAGCCACAUGACUGUCACAGACACCCCAGGGAAGGUCUCCCUGGGAGUGACCACAGUGACCUACCAAAAUCAAGGGGCUUUGCUGAUGUUCAAGAGCAUCCAUUCUUUCAAAAUGUUGACUGGGAUAUGAUGGAGCGAAAGCAGGUGAUACCUCCUUUUAAACCAAAUAUCUCUGAUGGAUUCGGUUUGGACAACUUUGAUCCUCAAUUUACUAAUGAACCUUUCCAGCUUACAAUGAUAAUGACAUCGUGAGGAAAGUUGAAGGAUAUGAAUUUGCAGGUUUUGAGUAUAUCCAUUGACUUAUAAUGUAUGAAGAAGAAUGGGUCUGAUCCUGAUUUUUCAACUAUGCAUUCUGCUUUUGCCAUUUAAUGCAUGGAAAAACUUAUUACCAUCCUGGAUAGAAUUAACCAUUUCAUAAUGUCUGGAAACUUAUUUUCAUUUCAUUUAUAUAGUAAUAUUUAGAUAUAAUACUGGCUUAUAAUCUAUAAUACAGAAUAUUGAAUUUUUUGUUGAGUUGCUUUUCAUCAUUUGACUUAAAUAACGAUGAGGUAAUUGUUUGUUAACUUGUGAACACAUUCCAUUUGUUGAGUGGAGACAGAAUGCCUAAUAUUUUUUCUUCUUAUUUAUUAUACCGUAAAAUAAUCUGUCUUUUAAAUACAAUGUCUUACCUAUGCUAGAUUCUCGUCAAACCGUAUUACCUGUUCUUUUAGGGCCUAGUUUAUGUAGUCUUUAGGGAAAUACAAAAAAUACCAAUUUUGAAUAAAUCUGCAGAAAACACUUAUAUUAUAGCUCUAUCUUCUUAGUUAAGUUUUUUAUUUAAUAGAAUAACAUGAAAUACAUAGUUGAAUUCAUGUCAAGAGCAGAGUUCUUCACACUAUCUUUAUUAAAAUUGGUAGCAAUUUAUUAUUAAGGAGUUUCCAGAUAUAGCAUCCCGCUGUUUUAGUACUAUUUUUAUGCAAAGUAACCAUCAUCAUCUAAAUAAGUUACAAUGGUACAAU
rnacentral:lncRNA from 1 species